rnacentral:rRNA from 1 species
ACGAACGCUGGCGGCGUGCCUAACACAUGCAAGUCGAGCGGAGACAGUGAGUAGCUUGCUAUGAGCUGUUUUAGCGGCGGACGGGUGAGUAACGCGUGAGCAACCUUUCCCAGACAGGGGAAUAACACACCGAAAGGUGUACUAAUACCGCAUAAGACCACGGGAUCACAUGGUUCUGGGGUAAAAGAAUUAUCGGUUUGGGGUGGGCUCGCGUCCGAUUAGGUAGUUGGUGAGGUAACGGCCCACCAAGCCGACGAUCGGUAGCCGACCUGAGAGGGUGAUCGGCCACAUUGGGACUGAGACACGGCCCAAACUCCUACGGGAGGCAGCAGUGGGGAAUAUUGGGCAAUGGGGGAAACCCUGACCCAGCAACGCCGCGUGGAGGAAGAAGGUUUUCGGAUCGUAAACUCCUGUCCUUGGAGACGAGUAGAAGACGGUAUCCAAGGAGGAAGCCCCGGCUAACUACGUGCCAGCAGCCGCGGUAAUACGUAGGGGGCAAGCGUUGUCCGGAAUAAUUGGGCGUAAAGGGCGCGUAGGCGGCUCGGUAAGUCUGGAGUGAAAGUCCUGCUUUUAAGGUGGGAAUUGCUUUGGAUACUGUCGGGCUUGAGUGCAGGAGAGGUUAGUGGAAUUCCCAGUGUAGCGGUGAAAUGCGUAGAGAUUGGGAGGAACACCAGUGGCGAAGGCGACUAACUGGACUGUAACUGACGCUGAGGCGCGAAAGUGUGGGGAGCAAACAGGAUUAGAUACCCUGGUAGUCCACACUGUAAACGAUGAAUGCUAGGUGUAGGGGGUAUCGACCCCUUCUGUGCCGCAGUCAACACAAUAAGCAUUCCGCCUGGGGAGUACGGCCGCAAGGUUGAAACUCAAAGGAAUUGACGGGGGCCCGCACAAGCAGCGGAGCAUGUGGUUUAAUUCGAAGCAACGCGAAGAACCUUACCUGCUCUUGACAUCCCAUUCGAUAGAAGGUAAUGCUUCUAGCCCUUCGGGGGAAUGGAGACAGGUGGUGCAUGGUUGUCGUCAGCUCGUGUCGUGAGAUGUUGGGUUAAGUCCCGCAACGAGCGCAACCCUUAUCUUCAGUUACUAACGGGUAAGGCUGAGGACUCUGAAGAGACUGCCGGGGACAACUCGGAGGAAGGUGGGGACGACGUCAAAUCAUCAUGCCCCUUAUGACCUGGGCUACACACGUGCUACAAUGGCCACGACAGAGAGAAGCGAAAUCGUAAGGUAGAGCGGAACUCAAAAAAGUGGUCCCAGUUCGGAUUGUGGGCUGCAACCCGCCCACAUGAAGUCGGAGUUGCUAGUAAUCGCGGAUCAGCAUGCCGCGGUGAAUACGUUCCCGGGCCUUGUACACACCGCCCGUCACACCAUGGGAGUUGGGAGUGCCCAAAGCCGGUGAGGCAACCGCAAGGAGCCAGCCGUCUAAGGCAAGACCAAUGACUGGGGUG